GGAUACUCGGGGUCAGGGGGUUCUCAGGGUUGGGGGGAUACUUAGGGUCAGGGGAUGCUCUAGGUUGGGGGAAGCUCGGGUUCAGGGGCUAUGGCCAGGGAGGAAGGACAAUCAGGAAAGUGGGGGUAGCGGAUUCUGGAAGCUAAAUAGUUUCAGGAAGGAGGAAUUGAUAGCCAAUGUUCAGAAGUACUGUGAGGCCAAGACUCCAGAGACAAUUGAGUUUGGCAUAUGCCAGUCAUUGGCAUCCUUGACAAAAGCAGUUUCAAAGGAGUGUGGGGAAGCUACAUCUCGUCAGAGUGGACUGUGAAAAGAAUAUUAAGUGAAGUGGAAAAAAGGCAUCCACAUUAAUCUGGAUAAAGGCUGCUUCUUCAGCCACAGCUAAGGUGC
rnacentral:lncRNA from 1 species